rnacentral:lncRNA from 1 species
AAUCUUCUGAAAGAUUAUGAUUGCCAGAUCAUUUAUCACCUCAGAAGAUGGAAUGUAGUUGCCGAUGCACUAAGCAGAAAGGAGCCUACCGUGCUGGCUCAAACCAUGGCCUCCAGUUGGAAGAUGAUGGACACUGUACAAUCGCUCCACCUUAGCUACUACGACAAGGGCACUUAUCUCUCCCAGAUCCGAGCCAUACUGGAUCUUUUUAUGAAGAUCUGGGAAGCACAGGCCAUGGAUCUAGAAAUCACUAAGAAUUUAAGUAAGUUCACUUCUAACAAAU